UGAAAAGAGACAUCCGCUCCCUCUCACACGCUGAGGGGGAGGCAUUCGCGUUUCCCCAAAUGAGAAAGAACCACAAGAAAUCAUGAAGUAAAAACUUUGGAAAGCUGCCACUGGAGAUGUUGCACAAAAACCUGGAAUCUUUUAGGAGUCUCCUCCCAGUCGUUGAAGGUUUGGGGAGCAGCUGAUACAGCAAGGAGGGCUCUUGCAAGGAUUCAAGACUAAACCCCAGCUCCGCCUCACGCAAGUGGAGCAACCAAGUGUGAGACACUGAGAUCCUGG
rnacentral:lncRNA from 1 species